GGCCUGGUUGCCAAGUGGUAAGGCAAGGGUCUGCAAAACCCUUAUACGCGAGUUCGAUUCUCGCCCAGGCCU
rnacentral:tRNA from 1 species